rnacentral:lncRNA from 1 species
AGUCUGCAUUCUUCUCAAAAGCUAGUGUUUAGCAGCCCCAGGGCUGGUUCUGUUGGUCCUCCUCUUUCUGGAAAGAAGAAUGCUUCAUCAAGGAGUUAACGUCUUCCAUUUGUUGGGGGUUCUACUUCUUCAGAAGAGCGCAAAGAUAUUUUUGCAUGUUUUGUUCAGGUGAACCAGGACUCUGCCCCAAAGCUGCACUAUUGUUUCUGGACUGUUCCUCCCUUGUCUCUGCUUCCGCUCCCUUCCCUGAUUAGCAACUGUUUAAACCUGCCUUUUGGAACUCAGGGAUGUUCAGAGAGGCUGAGCGAAGCUUAUUCCGUACAAACUAGAAACGGGGACACAGGAAGACUUUUGUGUCCAGAAGCCCCACAGGGUCCUGCCAGGCUUCAGGAGGACCUCUUCUACCCUGAUGAUUAAAUCUCUCAUCAGGUAAGAUUCAUGGAGAAGCUGUACUCCCCAACAUGCAGUGACGCUGUGGUUCAUCCUCCGUUCCUUUUUCUGUCUUCAGCACCUCAUUUGUGGGGCUUGAACUCCCAGGCUUGGAAUAUAGCACAAUUAGUGCUUGAGUGUGCAUACACACACACACACACACACACACACACACACACACAUUAUCUGUUGAAAACUCCCAGUCCAGGCUCUGCUUACAUACAGGCAGAAUGAGGGGAAGGGACAGAAGAGGGCAGUGGUGGGGAAGCACCAGCCCGGUUGCCUCCCAGUGGAAGGAUGGCUGCCCUACUUUCUGAUUUUUAGGGCCCCAGCCUUUCCGAGACAAGGAGGAAGUACAAAGUUCCUUUUUACUUUUCUUUAAGUGGUCUCAAUUUCAUUUUCUAAAAAGUAAGGCAGUUUUCUCUCAGUUCAACUCCAUCUGCUUUCAAGUUAGUGGAAAUCUCUCUUUGAUUUUGUAUUAGGCUGGUUACCAAUCUUCUUUUAGGUGAGGUGUGUGAGCUUCUAUUGCAGGGGCAGGGAGGACCCCUUCCAGGGCCCAAGGAUGGGCUCUGGUCUAACACUCAGAAAUGAACUGUCUGAGGAGACACACGUGCUGACAACGCAAGAGACUUUAUUGGAAAGGAGCUCCCAAGGUGGAGAGCAGCAGGGGAAGGGAACCCAGGAGAAC